UAACGCGUGGGUAACCUGCCCUAUACACAUGGAUAACAUACUGAAAAGUUUACUAAUACAUGAUAAUAUAUAUUUACGGCAUCGUAGAUAUAUCAAAGUGUUAGCGGUAUAGGAUGGACCCGCGUCUGAUUAGCUAGUUGGUGAGAUAACUGCCCACCAAGGCGACGAUCAGUAGCCGACCUGAGAGGGUGAUCGGCCACAUUGGAACUGAGACACGGUCCAAACUCCUACGGGAGGCAGCAGCC
rnacentral:rRNA from 1 species